rnacentral:lncRNA from 1 species
GCCCAUUGACUUUCCACUCACCUUCUCAUUGAAAAAAUUCACCUCCUUCACAGAUCCAUACUUAUUAAGCUUAGUUUCCAGCUUAGCAUCAGUAGUCCACCAAUGCAAAUCACCCACAAACAAUAUAGUACCACCAUAACUAGCAGUAGUAGCACCAUAACCACCACCACUAGCACCUCUAACUCCUCCAAUAUUAACAUUACUAACAACUCUUACAUUGUUCCCAACAUCAUUUCCACCGUCACCAACACCACCUUGACCUUGUCUCACCAAACCCCCAUUUCCAACAAUCCCAACAACCCCACCUUGUGUUUGUUGUCCAAUCCCCUACAUUGCAACACCAUUAUUCCCAUCUUGUUCCUCAAUUUCACUUAAAUUCCCAAAUUGGUUUCCUAAUUCAACAAUAAUCUCACCUUUGACACUCACCUUGUCCCCACUAAACCCUUGAUUCUAAAACCCAUCAACCCUCCUCGACGUGGUGGGGUUGCAAUUGUGGCAGGAGAGGGGGUGGCAGGCACUAUAGUCGAAGGUGGUUGUGGAGUUGUGCAAACGGGCGUUGGGGCUGCUACUGGUGUGCGUCGAUGAUAGGGUUGAUGAGAGAGAUGGUUGCACACUAGCUAAGAACUUUGACACAAUAAAGGAGAUGACACACAAACCUAAGAACAUCGCAAAAAUCAUUAGCACCUUUGACCUUCAAGAAAGAGAUUUGGAAAGACUAGACAUGGUAAUGGGGCGGGACGGGGACGGGUAUUGCCUCCCCAAUUCCUGACCCUAACUUUCUAACAUAUACCCGUACUUGUUCCCAAUACCCGAUGAGUUAAAAUUUAU